rnacentral:piRNA from 1 species
UUUAAAUCGCCUGCCAGGAUGACGGAGUC